rnacentral:sRNA from 1 species
GGGCUGGAUAUCGGCCCGCGUGCGCCUU